AAGGUUUUGAGGACAUCGCUGACCACACUGAAUAUCUGGAAAAUCAGUCUAGAAGAAAUAACCUGAAAAUCCUUGGCGUCCCCAAGAAUCCUGAUGAAGAGUUCUGGGAUGAGACUGAAAAGAAAGUCAAGGCUUUGGUAAAAUCUGAGCUUGGUGUCUCUGAUGAUUUUGAAAUAGAAAGGGCACACCAUGUCUGUCGUUUUCAAAAGAAUGAGAAAGGUCAUAGAUGGAUUAAUGACACCAACCAGACGCCUAAACCAGAGCUGCGAUGUAUGGAAUCAUUGUCUGGGGUCUUACCUAUGACAUCCACACCAAACCGAUUUACCUUCUACAAAAGAGAAUUGUUAGGGCUAUUGCUUUCAAGAAUUUUACAUCACCAUCUACACCUAUUUUCUCUGAAUUGAAAAUUCUAAAGUUAAAUGAUUUAUUUCACUUUAUUUCACUUUCACAUAAUUUUUUUGAAACUUUGUCUACCGUUCAUCAGUAUGAUACAAGGCGGGCUGGCAAAGGUGAAUAUUUUUAUGACGCGCAAGAAUACUUUGCAAUAUGGCUUACAAUCUAUUAAAUAUACAGGGGCUAUAUCCUGGAACGACAUUCCAUCCGAUAUCAAACAAUCUAUUUCACUAGUGAUUUUCCGUCGUGAUCUGAAAUUGUAUCUGUUCUCAAAUAAAUACCAAUUUUGCAUACCUUGAUAAAAUAAUUCUUCCUUACAUUGAUAAAUCGAAUCACUAGAAGAUUUCAUAAAUUGAAUGAUAAGUUUUUAGCUUAGGGGGUGCUCUCUCCUCGAUUAGUCUACCUACUGAGAGAGCUCCUCCUUAAGAAAUUCCUCUCCAUACGAAAUUCUAUGUACUCUUAUUGUAAAAUUUGUCAUUUUUUGUCAUCUGUUGUAAUUUUUUAUUCUAGUUAAUUGUAUGUUUUUACAAGUAGAAUUUUAUUAGAAUUUUAGAAAGAUUUUUGUAUGUAGUGGAUUUUUAAAAUUAAACUGAACUGAACUGAUGUAGUUUAUAAGAAAGACAAAGAAGGACCAAAAGAGCCUAAAAUAACAUAUGUAGCUGAAUAAAACAUUGAUGCAAUAUUUACAUCAGAACCACCACAAAAGCUUUUACAUCAAAAAUAACUCAUGUUACUUCUUUUUUAGUAAUUCUUUGGCUAAAUGAUGAAUCAGAAAACUUGACCUUGCACUAGAAUCAUGUUUUAAAUCUGUUAUGUAAUUUCCAGCUAACUAAUUAUCAAGUAAAACUUUCAAUUGGAUUUUCCGCAAUUUUACUUUUGAAACUUUCAGAAAGCCUAACUUCCUUACCCUAUUUCAUUUCAUUUAUAAAAUAUUUAUACAAGAUAAAUCGUAGCAGCAUCAAUAUAUAACACUGUACAGUAAACUGCUUUCGAAACGACUCCUUGAAAGAAAGAGUCCAAAAGGUAAAAAAAAGGAAAUAUAUAAUAAUUAUUUGAGUUAAGUAAAAAAUGUCAAAAUAUUAAAAAUAAUAAAAUUUAAAACCACUUAAUUCUUUCAAGAACAGUUCUUUGUUUUCCUGAAUACGGAUGUUUAAUUAAUAGAGAGUGCGGGAAAAUAACCGACCCGAGCGAGGCUCAAACUCACGAACCUUGCUUUUGUACGUCAAGUGCUCUACCGCUGAGCUAUCGGGUCGUGCUUUCAAGCCAACACCCAAGGCCGAGUCAUUCACCCGCACUGCCCCUCUUUUUUACCAGAUACACAGGGGAGCCAUCGCAGCUCCAUCACCAAGUGCAGAGGACCUGAAGAGUGAGAGAAGACUGCCCACACCAGGAGGGCCAUCGCAGCCCCAACACUGGAUAGGGUUGAAGAGAAAGUUUACAGACAACAGGAUUUCGAAGAUAAUUAAUAGAAAGUGCGGGAAAAUAACCGACCCGAGCGAGGCUCGAACUCAGGACCCCUGACUUUGUACGUCAAGUGCUCUACCGCUGAGCUAUCGGGUCGUGCUUUCAAGCCAACACCCAAGGCCGAGUCAUCACCCGCACUGCCCCUCUCUUUUACCAGAUACACAGGGGAGCCAUCGCAGCUCCAUCACAAAGUGCAGAGGUCUCUUGACGUACAGAAUACGGAUGUCUCUUGUAAUUUAUUGUAAGUUAUUGCACCUUGAUGGUAGAAUCCAUUUCCAACUGCUUUUGUUCUGACUUCUGUUAUUUUUAUCAUGUAGAAAGCUGAAAUUUGUACAUAAGUACGUUUCAAGAUGCUUUCUAGGAUGAGCAGAGGAAAAGUUGAUGGUUAAAAUCUUUGUACUUCAAUUGCCAAAAAACCCUUUUUCUUGGUUACAAUAGCAACAGUUGCUAAUCAUCAAUUUUCUCUGCUCAUCCUGGAGUCUAUUUAUAUCUUCCAUUAUUGCAUGUGUGAUUUGCUUUUAGAAAGCUCACCGCAAUUUUCAUUUUGAGUUGUCUGGAGUUUCUGAUCAGUAAAUUAUACAUGUGCAUUCUGCGUCAUGAAAUAUAUGGCAUUUUGUGAAAAAGUAGUUGAAAAGUUUCUAGCUGAUAAAACUUAUGGUUUUUGGGAAAAUAUGGAUUUUUAAUCGUCAAGCUUUUUUCAGCUAUAAUUAACCUUUCAAAAGUAUUGAUAACCAAUUAUCCCUGUUCAUGCCGGAAACCUGGGCAUUAGUUAACAUGUUAGGCUUUAAUUUCAUUUACUAUUGUUAUGCUUUAACAAAAUGGUUUGUUGAUUUGGCAGCUCUUUGCUUUAACAAUCACAGUUUACUUGAUGAGAAAAGAAAACCAAUGAAAUUCUACAGGCAUCCUCAAAACCAACAAAUACAGGCUGAGUAUCAUAUAAUUUUUAAAACCUCAGGUUUGAUCUGGAAGAAAGAACAUAUUUGUGCUGAGCAUUGGAAAAAGCGUGUGAAUAACGGCACAAAAAAAUUUGCCUAAUGUUUCAGUGCCUUCGAGCCAGGUUGAUUGUCAUUGGAUAAAAAUGUAAAUUCAUCAAAGGUUGUUAAUGCUGCUACUUAUGUUUCAGCAAUGCAGCACGAAACUUUAAAGAAAACAAAGAAUAAGUGUAAAUUAGUGAUGAGGAGUCCAUGAAACCUCCUGCCACAUAUAGGAUAUGUUAUUCAGGAAGAUGUGCCAGAGAUUUAAUAGCUUAAUGCACAUGGGCUGUGUUAAGAUGUGAAGGAGAUAGAAUAAAGCACGGGUUGAACAGAACAGAAAGAAUAACUUUAUAUUAACUUCAAACGGCCUAGACACAUAACUGUAAUACUGUAAACUGUAAUCUGAAACUAUAUAAACAUGGGUCACAUAAAGUAAUGCUUCUGCGCAUGGUCAAUUAGGUUACUACAGGCUGAAGCACAAAAAUCUGAAACUCAUUUCAAAAGUGAGCAAUUUCAACAAAAUCAACACAACAGAGAAUUUUAUAAACUAUUUAAAUAAUUCACAAAUAAGUCAGUAAAUAGUGAACUAGGACAAAUAGUGUUAUUGUUAUUGCAUUGUUCUUUACUAAGUCCACAUGGUCUAUAGACAGACCUCUUGCCUUGUUUACAUUUUGCAGGAGUGACUUUGGAUGCGCGCGCAGGGUUCUAGUUAAAAAAAGUUGUUUUGGUUACGUUGCUACACUUGGAUCGUGGCAAAACACCAGCAUUCACACACUGAUUGUAAAUUUGACUUUGUUUGUAACGAUAUAUUUAAUUGAAAACACUAUUAACUUGUUGUGCUGUUGGUUGCAGCAAUCGAAAAACUGGUGGAAAGAAACAUUCUGUUUAAUUCCAUCCGGAAAGGGAAAACACCUUUCGAGAGAAGACAAAGGAAAGAUUGGAAAGGCUGGACGUAUGACCAAAUUUCAAGGGCAACUAUUUGCGGAGAGCAUUUCAUUUCAGGUAAAAUGUUGCUAUAUCUUUCGAGGCUAACUUUUGAGAUAUAGAGUUACUUAAUUACUGAAGGCUACGGGGCUCCCCCCUGCCCCCGCCAGUCAGGUCAUGAGGAACAUAUUUCAGUACCCCUCCCCAAUUGAAUUCCUUCCGUCAUAAAAAAGUUCUGGUGCUGCCAGUGGUAGGGCACAACACUAUUUGAAAACUGGUUUUGUAUAUUUUUUUUAAAUGAUGUUUUAUAGGUAAUUUUUAAAAUUUAUAUUUAUAAAUAUUUUGUGUAUCGAAGGGAAAUGAUCAGAUGACCCAGAACAAACUAAUUGGGUUCCAAAAAUAUUUGUGCACACAUCACAGUCAGAAAAAGAGAAAAUUUCAAAGCAAAUAAAAAAGAAAGCUCGGUAUGAACUCUUCAAAAGCAAAAGAGAGAAGUUAUCGUCCGCCUGGAAAAUUGAUGCACUGGAAAAUUCGGAACAAAUGGAACACAAAUUUGGAAUGACCUAUCAGUAGAGAUUAGAAAAUUCUCCUUCAAAAUAUUCUUGUGAAAAAAAUCUUAAAAUAUUUUUACAAAACAACCUAGUAAUCAAUGAUGGUUUUUAAACUUGAUCUAUACAUAGAUGAUAUUUUUCUGUGGAAGACUCAAAGCAACUUACAGAUGAUCUUUUUUACUUUUAGAAAUAAAAAUUAAGCAGAAUGCAUCUAAUUUACUAGGGGGUGCUUUCUCCUCGAUUAAUUUAUAAACUACUGAGAAAGUUUCCUCCUUUAAAUAAUUCCCUGUGUAUAAUACUAGCUUGUUUCUCCACUACUCUGUAUUUGUUAUGUUACGUUUAUAUUAAUUAACUUUACAUUUACAUUGUUUAUCUUUUUAAGCUUGGAUUAUUUCUAAUUUGCAACAAUUGUAUGUAUCCAGUGGAAUUUAAAAUAAAACUGAACUGAAUUCGAGCUCUGAAAGCAGUAUAGGGGAGGCAGAAGAAGGCUAUCAAAGUAUUGAUGUGGGUGUUCAAUGUGAGAUCAGCCUGACUGAUGAAGUGGCAGAGCUUGAGAAUAACCAGAUCAACAUGGAGAGGGAGUUAAGAUCAAGAAAUGAUGAAAGAUAUAAACUACACAAAGAAAAUACACCGUUAAAAAUAGGGUCUUUGGAUUCAAGGCCAUCAAAAGUUCAACAGACAUGGUUCAUUUUUUCACUGGGUUAGGAUCUCUAUCUGCAUUUUUAUGGCUGGUUCAUUUGCUUAAGUAAAAGGUUAAGCAGAUAAAAAAAAAUGUACCGAUUGAGGACCAUGUUGGUUGUCUGAAGGCCUAUAGAUGACUUCAAUUAUAAUCCUUUGUGAAUGUAAUUUUAUGUCAACCCAUACUGAUUCAAUGUUGUUAACGCUGUUUUUGACAAGGAAAGGAGCUACAUCCAGUGUUUCUUUGUAGUUACAACAGAACUCCACCUGUACUUCGAUCAUUUCUUUCCAUUUUGUAGCCGUUUAUCUUUAACUCCCUAUCAGAAUUAUUCUGGUUAAGUUUUGUUUUGGUCACACCAAGUAGGUCCAGACCGGUUAUUUUUAGCAUCAGCUUCACUUUAUCCAGUUUGUUUCUUGUUAGAAUGCCAUUUGAAUUAAUAUGUGCUACAACGAAAAUCUUAACGGAUUGAAGCACGAUGCACAAGAUAUAUGGGGAUUUAGAUUUGCGCCAUUUAGGCCCAUGCCAGAUCCCUAUCCUGAAGCCGCAGCUCCUCUCGCUAUUCGACCAAGGACUAAGUUUUACAAAUCCAGAGUUUCUUACUAUGGCAAAAUGUUGCAGCUAUCAGAUACAACGAGACUCAUUUCUCAUGCUUGCCUUACUUUCUGGCGAUAUCCAAUUAAAUCCAGGUCUAGUUAAGAAGCCUUGUUCGGUAUGUAAGAACCGAGUGGCUUGACUCACAGAGCAUUGGAAUGUGAUUCUUGUAUGCAAAACUGUCAUAUUGGGAAGAAAUUAACAUUUGUUUGAGUGUUAAGAACUGUAUAAAAGGAAAUCAAGUGUGAGUAGUGAUGCAAAAUCAGGAUCAUGAGCAUCCAAGUUGAAACAGGCCUUGCUGCCAUAACAAUUCACAAAAAAUCUGUGACCUAAGAAUGGGGUUCUUUAUUGUUUUGAUAGCAUUUGUUUUACCGGUAAGUAAAUCUUUAUUGCUAAGUAAAUCUGGGUUUAUAGAGCGUAUCUGGCCGACUGAGUGUACGUAGGCCUAUCCAGGAUAAAUCUGACCUGCAGCUAGGUACAACCCCAGUCAGCUACAUGAGGAUCCAAGUCCUGCCAUACAUGUACAGUUACCUGUUAACACCCAACUGUGUUUUUUGUCAAGGCACACCCAGACUUUGUAAUGGAAUGUUUCCUGGCCUUGGGGCCGCUUUCCAUUAUUAUGUGAAAAGCUGUUGGAACUCUUCCUCAAAGCAUUAUUCCAAAUAUGUAUGCUAGUAUUUAAGUGUAAAAAUUAUGUAAGAAAAUCUGAGUGAACUUUUAAGAGAUUUGUAAAAAGGAGCUGGAAAAUAAAUCGAAUAUGCUCAAAAUAAUUAAACUUAGUUUAAAUGCCAGCAAAAGUGAAUAUCUGAUAAGGGCCGCAAAGAAGAAUUGAUUCAAUAUUGUAUAAAUCUUUAUAAAAAAGAAUGAACAAAAAAAAGAACAAUACUACAAGGAAAAUCUUAAGAUAUUGAACUUCUAGACAAAGCUCACAAUCCAACUGUAUAUCAGAAAGUUAAGGAAGUGAACAAAAAGCCAAAAAAAACUAUAAGCUGCAUUAAAGACAGAGAUGGAAAACUCCUAACGGAAAAUGAAAAUAUGGCAGAAAGAUGGGCAUAUUAUAUUGAAGAACUAUACAAUGACAACAGAUCACCAUAUACAGGAGAAAAAAUUGGAAUAUGAAAAAGGUAAAAUAAAAAAAGAAGAGAAAAAGAAGACAUAGAAAUUAUUGAACUUCUACCAUAAAACAAAGCAACUGGCCUAGAUCAAAUUACUGCAGAACUUCUACAACAUAUGGGCGAAUCAGGACUAGACACUAUCCCUAUCAUCAUAAACGAUUGCUACAAUACAGGUACUUCACCACAAUACUUCCUCAAAUCAACCUUCGUUCCCUUCCCAAAUGCAGCCAACACAACAUUAUGUAACGAACACUGUAUAAUAAGCUUUUUCUUUCAUGCUUCCAAGAUUUUAUUAGAAAUGAUUAUAAGAUGAAUAACAUUUAUAGCAGAGAGAAAACUCAAUGAGAGUCAUUUCGGGUUCAGAAAAGGGAACAAGAGACGGUAUUUACCAACUUCGCAAAUUUAGUGAACAUGUGAUUGAGAAGAAAAGGAAACUGUUUGUAUGCUUUAUCGGCUCAUCAGCAACCUAUACUGGAACGAAAAAGCGACGGUCUGAACAAAUGAUGGAGAAUCCAGAUUCUUUUAAAAGGAAAGAAGAGUUUGACAAGAAUGUAUCCUAUCACCAAUCCUGUUCAACAUGUAAAGCUAAGAACUAAUUCAAGAAGCUUUAGACAAAAUGAUAUCAAGAUCACCAAUAAAAGGUACACAGAUGAUGCAAUAAUCAUAACAGAAACGGAAGAAGAACUCAAGCGGAUGAUUGUAAAACUGAACGAAGUAUGCAAGAUCUAUGUAAUAUAGAGUUGAAUGCCAAAAAGACGAAAGUGGCGGUAAUUGAAAAAACAACUAGGGACAAAUAUCCAAAUAACAUCUGAGAAAGUAGUUCUAGAGCAAGUCAAAAGUUAUUGCUACCUUGGGUGGCAAAUUACAGAAGAUGGAAGAUGUGUAGAAGUCAAGAAACGCUGUGCAAUGGCAAAACUGCAUUUCAACAUCAUCAAGACCUUUUCAACAGUAACAUCAACCAUAAGACAAAACUAAAUGUAAACCUAUGUAUGGUCAGUCUCUACCUACAGAUACGAAGCCUGGACCAUCAGAAAAACCACGAAUAAUAAAAUACAGGCUUUUAAGCCAUGGUUUUAUUGAGAAUGCUAAAGAUCAAAUGGAUGGAUAGAAUCAGAAAUGAAGAAAUAUUACAGAAGAUGAGUACAAUCCCUAAGCUGCUUAACAUCAUGGUUAAAAGAAAAGCUGUGCUUUUUGGUCAUGUUGCAAGAGGGUCCAGUGGUUUGGUUCUCUGUAACUUUGUGGCAGGGUAUGUUGUGAAGUAAGGUUGAGCUUGCCACGAAAUAAAGCAUAGAGUAGUUGUGGUUUCACUUUUACAUUAUAUUCAGCAACAAACAAGCAAACUAAGUAUAUAUUUAAGAGAUUUCAUAUUGAUGACCCAACUGUCUCUUUGCCUCGACUACGCUACUACUGAUUCAAAAGCAAGCUGAUUCAAUCAGGCAUCACCACAGAAAGACAUGAUCAUCACGCGGGUACCCAAAGAGAGGAAACUGGGAUUGAGGCCAAACCCAAGGAAAGGCUACAGUUCUAAGCACACUACCCCGAUUUGAUUCCCUACAGUGAUCAAACAGAAAUAAGUCGAUUAGGAUAAAAUAUGAUAAGCAAAAUACUGAAAAUGUAUAAUAAGUAUUCAAUCAAAUGUUUAUACAAAAGCGUAAUAAUGUGGUCAUGUUCUUUAUGUGAUUUAGCUCUUUCUCAAAAUAUGUCUACGAAUAAUUGAUCCAUAUGCCUGCACUGCGUUUCAACCUGGUUAUAACUGAACUGUCUCACUGCAAUUGUGCAGGCUGCCUGGUCGCUUUCUCUUGCACAGAAUGCAAUGAAUCAGAAUGACAAGGUAUUUCUAAAGGUACAAGCAAUUUUCAACGAUUGACAAAAUACCUGAUUAACGACCUUACCCUUUGUUGUGCAUACCUGCACUCUUGCAGAUUUUAAACUUUCAUUUGUGCCUGGUAUCAAUUCCUGUAUUCUGCAGAGUUUCCAGAACAUUAUUUUAUUCUGAUCAUCGUUGAGUAGUACCAAAUCUCCCACGACUAGUUCUUUAACAUGAAUUUUUGGCUUGAAAGCUUCAAUCAAUCGUAGCAAGUACUCAUUUUUUCAUUUUUCAAGAAAUGAUCUAGAAGUAAUUUGUCGAGUUCUGCCCUUUCCUAUAGAGUUUCAUAAGUACUCAUCACUUCCAGCUACCUGUCAUGGGGUAAAUGAGAUAUAUUUCUGCUGUUAAUGAGAUGUGAUGGUGUCAGAGGGAAAGAUAUACCUUACAUAUGUAGUAUCAUCAAAAACAUAUGCCAUGGGACGCGAGUUAAUGACACUCUCUACCUCCGUUAAAAUAGUGGCCAUUUCAUGAAAAUAUAGGCUCUCUCGCCCUAUUACCUUUAUUGCUUUACCGCUGCUUUUAGAUUCUGAAUAAAUCUCAGAACCCAAGAGAAUGUAGGCAACACUUUAAUUUUUGAACUGUAACAUGAAAUAUUGAAAACAUUGCUCAGUUGUACAUCCGGGUCUGCACCUAUACUAACCAUGACAUGAGUAACUUUUGGUUCAAAUUUCACCUUUUCCUGCAAUGCUUCUUUGCUUUGAAGUUCAUUUUGUGGUUGCAAAGUGGGCCAAUUUUCUGAAUCUGAUUGUAAGAAUUUAGGACCCUCCUGCCAAAAACAAUUUGCAGACAACAAGGGGUUGAACUUACCCUGAGAUGGUAAAUCGGCAGGGUUCUCUUGUCCUAGACUAGUUUUCCCUGUUUGAAAACUUCAAAAUGUCCGAUACACAGUGAUGUACAAAUCGUUUCAAGGGUUUCUCGUUUUUUAACCAGCACAAAGUGGCCAUAGAAUCGACCCAAUAGUAUGUUUCUAUGACUAGGUCUAACUCAUCGUGUAACACAGAAUGUUCGCUUUUGGCAAAUUUUGCCAUCAAAUUUGUGCUUAGCAGUUCAAGGUGUGGUAAACUUUGUUUUUUAGCAGGCGAAACCUUAGCUGUUGAAGCAACAAGAUGUACCCUUACCUUACCAUGAUCAUAAACAACCAUUAAACAAACCACAGUGGCAUAGGCAAGCUCACUGGUGUCGAACAGGCAAGGAUUUCAACUUUGGUAACAUCGGCUUCUUGUUUUAUGAAACAACAGUCAAGUUUAAUAUCUGUAAUGGUACUAAACUGGGAUAUUAAGGUGUCAUACUGCUUGGAAUAGUUUUCUUUCUGUGGCUCAUCCCGAGUUACCUUUUCAAUGCACAAUUCCUGGAAGGAAACCUCUAAAUUGAUGGUAAACAAACUUUCACAGCCAAACAGGUCAAAAAUCUUUGUGGCAAUUUUUAACAAGAAACUUCUGGUUGGAGGCAAAGAUUUUACAAUUUCAAAAUUUGAUUUAAAUCAAGAAGCAACUUGUCUGAAUCAUGAUUCCACUAAACACCAAGUAUUUUGGAAACAUUGGUGUUCUUUUUGGACUGGUUGUCUCUGAUACCUUGGGAACAGUCUUAGGGGGACUUGUGGAGACAACCUUCUAAAAUAUUGACCAUUUUGGAAAGCUUUUUUGUUGUUUGUCUUCCACUUGCGCAAAUUGAAUCCUGCUUUCAACAAAAUUUCUUUAGAUUUCUGAUAGAUUUAUAGUGCUUUCUGGGUAGACUUGACACCAAAAGACAUUUCGUCAGCAUAAAGGCGGCUCAAAACCUUGACAACCUUUGGGCUUCAUUCUUAAAUGAGGAAACAUGUUGUCUAGUGGAGGCCCCAAGGAUUGAGGGUGAUGGCUUGAGGCUAAAGAGCCUCAACGCAGCUGGACAAUAGACAGAUUCUCCUUUUAUGUUGUCAAACCAUAAAAAGCGUAAAUAGUCAUGAUCAGCUGGUUUGAUUUCUAUUUGUAAGAACGCUUUUUGUAUAUCGGAUGUCAUAGCAACAGAAUUAGCAGGAAAUCUUAACAAUGUAUCAAACGAAGAAGGCAUAAUUGUCACCAAAUUGAAGACAAUAAUUAAAUGAGAGUUGAUUUGACUUAGAUUUAGUCAUAAAAAUAAUAGGGCUAGAAUGGGCGGUCUUUUGUUUCUGCUGUUUGUGAAUGGCACAAGCAUAAUUGCUGCCGUUGGUUGGCAAAAAGCUGUGGUGGUGGUUGACAGCUCGGUGUCGUUAAAAUUGAGAAGUUGUGAUAAAACUUAGAGUAAUUGAGAGUUUGAAGGCAGUGAAAUGUCAGAUUAUCAAAAAAAUGGAUCAAUCAAGGUAAUUAGCAGUUAUUUUGAGAGAUUUUGUUUUCAUCAUAGCACUAGUAGUAAGUUACUUAGGCCUAUUAAAUUUUUGUUAUGUGGGAGUUCAACAUAGCAGCGGUCUCAUCACCAGCAUAAAGUUAUGUUUCACCUGGACUUGUUACUAGUCUCUCUAUCUCUAUUGAGUGUGAAUAGUUACAAAAUAGAACAAUAAAGAAAGAAGAGAAAUUCAUUUGAUUCAUCAGAUAUUAUUCGAAUCUUCUGAUGACCAAUAACGUCAAACAACAAUUCACUAUUAUAGUCUAAUAGUAUUAUAUGCUGGUUUGAAACAUUACUUAGUUUCGUGGUGAGCUUUUUGAAAUACAUUAUCAUUUUGCAUUGAGUCCUAAUGUGACUUUGGUAUCUUCGUGUUAAUUCUGGGGCUGAUGCCACAGCAUACUUGACAAACUCUAGGUAUCUGCAACCCACCCUGACUAGAAAGUAAAGGGUAAUAAUAAUAAUUUUUUUUUUUUUUUUUAAACAUCUCAUUUUCAUUGAAUACAUUUUAAAUUUACAAUUAUACGACUCGCUUUUACAGGCAUCAUAUAAUUGGCUUAUCUGCAUUACAAUAUUUAAAAGUCAAUUAGUUCGGGGCUUAGCCAUGGUUUGUUUCGACGACAGAAGAUAUAGUAGGUGCAGCGGAUAGAAAUGUUCAUGAGUUUCAUCAAGAUGGAUUUAGUUUGAUUUGAGUCAAAAUUAAGUUGGUGUAGCAUGUCAGAGAGAGAGGUAGAUGAGGUUCCCAGAAUGCCAAGGGCACUCAUAGAAAGGUUAACAAAGGUAACACGUUUAUAGGCAGGGCUCAGUUCCUUGAUAAGGUCGCUAUAUUUCCUAGCUUUUCGUGUACUGUUUUCGUCGAUGUUGCUUUCGAACCCAACAGUAAGCUCUAGCAUGUAAAGAUAAUAAUAAUAAUAAUAAUAAUAAUAAUAAUAAUAAUAAUAAUCGAAUGUUUUAACAGGAUAACCUAUCAGUACAAUAUGUACUGUUAUCAUUAGGGUCCUGAUACUUAAUAAAUUAAUGGUAAAAGAUCUAAAAACUGAUUACAAGAGUACACAGUUUGAAAUGCCUUUGAAGCUACAUCAAGAUGUAAAGGUUAAACUCACCAUAUUAGGAACUGCAAAAAUGUCAUGAUGUCAUUGAGACAAAUUCCAACCAUGCUCAUUCAUUCUGGAAUAAAACUACUAGCUUUUUGAGUUUAUGUCUUCUUGAUGAUCCAUUCUUUUUAACAUUUUUUUCAGUGAAAACAAGUCCAAAUUGAUGAUAGAAUAUAACCAAAUAGUGUUAUAAUUAUUAUGGAGAUAUGAUCAUCUCUCAGGUUCUGGUCUAAAAUAUGACACUGUUUGCUGUGUUCAUUUAUGGAUUGAAAAGUGUUGUUCCUUGUUUCAGAUAAAACAUCUGACAAGAUGUGUGCAUUAGUUUCUUGUGAUAAGGUUGCCUACCUGCAUAAGGCAAGACGCACCUUCCGAUCAACAUAGUCUACAACUCUGUAAACAGACCUGAAAGAUGGACAUUAUUAAAAACACACAUGCUCUCAGAGUGGCCAUGCAAAGCUGUAACACACUCUGGGCAUUCAAUAAACUCAAGCAACUUUUUGACAAUGUAUCCAGAUAUGUAAUAUAAAGCACCAGAGCGCCAAAUGGUGGUUGAAAGCAAAAGAUGUGAUACUCUUGGGUCAACUUUACAUAUUUUAUUUGCAUCAUUAUUUGAUACAUUGAUACAGUUGGUAGUUGAGGGAGAUUCAACCAUGUUUUUCAAGAGUAAUUGCGGUAUGGCAUAUUCAAACUGAAGUGCAGUUGGAUUAUUAUUCUAUCCAAAGCGACUUCAAAUUUUGGCAAAGUACAUUUCCAAUUGGUCCUGUGAAAAAUAAUACACCAGAAAGUAUUCAAAUUGGAAUUCAGAUCUUUGCAGUACUUUUUUGCUUAUGCUCAAUAUAGAUGAGGCUGAGAUCUAAAAUCCAAAUUCAGAUUUCUUAAGAAUGUUAAUGGUGCAUACACAGAGUGACUCAAAGUUUGUGCUGCAACACUUACUUUCAUUUUAUGAUUUUUCCACUGAAUGUGUUUUGUUUUUACCUUGUUCCCCAAAUGGAGGAUAUCUUUCUGUUGGACUCUGUACAGAGCUGGUAUAAACUCCUAAGAAAUUUUUUCCCUGCUUGCGGUUAAAAAAUGUUUUCAUGUCUGCUAAUGCAUUCCUUGCAAGUUUUAGCUUGUGACAAAAAUCUAAGAUUGCAUAUAUUUUUCUUCCUAUUAUAAAUGAGUGAUAAAAGGCUCCAUCUAAGUUUUUUAUGUUGCAUCAAAAUUUAGCUGCCAUACUAAGGUUUUUUGGAGCACCAAAAAAAACCACAGCAUGUACCUCAGCCCCUAUUUCAGUCAAUUUAUUUAUGGCCUCAAAGAUCAAUUGCUUUAAAACCUCACCAUUUCGUGAGUUGGUCAAAAAAUAUUCAAUUGGGCCAAACCAUUGCUUUUGAAGGCCACAUGCCAUUAUGACAAGUGCAUUUGUUGCUUCUUUGUCAAUUUCUUCUGCCUUUUGUUUCAAAACUUCAUUUCAAAAUUAGCUGAAUAAAAAAGAAAACGUAAUAGAAAAGCACCCAAAAAACUAUGAAUGAAAAAUGCAGGACAAUUAGCCUACUUUAGAGCAAGCGUGCAGAAAUGCUGGUUUGAAAAACACAUGCGUGCAAAUCCCCAAGACGCAGGACACUUGACAGGCCUCGAAAUUUCGGCUCCUUUGAAAAACUUGAAGAUGAUGGAAAUCUUUUUGAACAGUGAUCAAAAGUUUUUUCCUCAAGAUGGAUUAAAAUUCCUCAAUAUGGAAUUAAAUGGAUUAAAUUUCCACUCAACAAGCAAAUACAAGCAACUUGAAGCGGAGACUUACAUUAUCACGUUCUCUCAUUUUCCGCGAUCACAGAAAAGAUGUGAAGCAAAUUGUACCUGAAUGUGAUAGUGUAAUAGGGCCUUUAGCUAUUUUGACCUGGGAUAUAUGCAUGUUUAGGUGCUGUAUGCUCUGAAACAUUAAUUGGGGCCAUUUGCUCAAGCAUACCCAUUCCAACAGCAAAAGAACAUCUGACAUUUUUUUUCUGCAACAGCUCUGUUCCUUGGGCGAAACGUUUCAAGCUUUUAAGCAACAUAUGAUGCAAAUGAGCUUCUCUGUUUUUGAAAAUGGCUUUGAAAAAAGCAAACAUUUUACGACAUACUAAAAGCUUUUUCGUCUGACACUCCUCAGAGCAAAAACGUCAGAAUAAGGUUCCGAAAGAACACAAUGGAAAAUAUAUACCCAGUUGUGGAUCGAAAUAGGCCAAUCAGAAAAACGCAAGCACAAGACCGGUAUAGUUGACCAAUCAGUGCCGCGAGCCUAAAGAAAAAUUACCAAUGGAGUCAAAGAGAGAAAACGAACUCCUUUUGUCUACACAAUGGCGGCUUUUUCGUUUUUAUGUAGAUUGACUCCAAAACUGCUAGAUGGAAGGACGACCGGGCUCUGCCAAUUAUCCGAAACAUGUCGUCAUUAUAGAGUUUUGCACAAUCUGGGUUGUCUAAAAGAUGUUGACCGAUGACAGAAUCACUUGUUUUAACACAGUGUUUCUAGACCUACAAGAUUGAGGAGGCUGUUCUCUUUGAGGGGCAGUUUUGUUUCAUAUGUUGGAAGGAGCAUGCUGUUUUAUCCUAUCCCCCAAUCUUUGGGUUGUGCGUCCUACGUAGCCAGAGUCACACUGGCACGUAAAUUUAUAAAUGACGGAACUUUUUUGUUUGGUAGGAACGCAAUCCUUUUGAAUGGAUGGAAGGGCUCUCCUAGUGCUGUAAACAAUCCAUGGUAGUUUCAAAUAAACUGGGCACUUUUGCGGACCAAACUUUUGAACAGCCGAAAAAACUUGCGAUCUUCUCCUCAGUAUAAGAUAAAAUGACGUCUUCAGGAUAGCCGUUGUUCAAGAAGAUCGUUUUGAGUUUUUCCAGUUUAGCGUGCAGUUUAGAUUCAAUUUUUCAUUCGUAAUUUUUCUUUAGGCUCACGGCACUGAUUGGUCAACUAUACCGGUCUUGUGCUUGCGUUUUUUUGAUUGGCCUAUUUGAUCCACAACUGGGUAUAUAUUUUCCAUUGUGUUCUUUCGGAGGAGUGUCAGACGAAAAAGCUUUUAGUAUGUCGUAAAAUGUUUGCUUUUUUCAAAGCCAUUUUCAAAUUCUGUACCGCAAAAAAAUUGUUCUCUGUUUUUCUUUUUUCUGGUUCUUUCAAUACCUUUAGACUAAUUAUCUCAUCCCUCUUCAACUCUACAGCUUUCGUUAUUUGCUUUUUUGGGAUGCACAGAUUUGAAUCAUGUUGCUCAUCUUUCAAAGAUUAUUCUUCAAGAGGCAAAUCAUCAAGUACAGGUGAUGAUUCUGGUGAAUCAGCUGGCCACUGCAAAUUAUCCCUGCCUCUUAAAGGUUGCAUAGCAGGUUGCAGAAACUUGAGAUGUUGCCAAUAAGUCCAGUUUCGCUUGUUCAGCUUAUUAGUCACUUGUCCAGAUUUUUUCUUUUUCACCCUUGUAAUUUUCUCGCCCAAACUGUGACCCCAGAUUUAAUAAUGUUGAUUCAAAUUUCUUGACAGUGGUUUCUAGUGCUGUCGCCAUUUCAUCUAAAUCAUGCAUGUCAAACUCACUUUGGCUCUGGGGCCGGACCCAGACUGUCUGUUCUCAGGUGGGCCAGAUCAGAGAAAAAUGUCAACUCCAAAUAUUUACCUUUGUCUUUCAGUACUAUGCCUUAUCAUUCAGCCUACAUUUAUAGCCUACUCUUCAUAUUAUCAGAGACGGCGCCACGAAAUUGAACCUGAGGGGGGCUAAGAAUCAAGUUUAGUGACUAGGAAGACCCACCAUGGUUGGGUCCAACUCAAAAGGAAAAGUUUGAAAUCGAGCCUUCUAGAGUGGCUAAAGAUGCAUCUCCAGGGCUAAGAGGACUGUAUAUAUAUUAGAAAUAUGAUAAUCUUAUAAUCUAACAAAGACUAAAAAAGGAAAUAGGCAACGAAUAAUUAGAGUGUAAGAGGCCAAGAAUGUAAGAGUUCUUUUCUUCAGAAUUUCUUUGACAAUAUUAGGCUUCAAUCAAUAAAUGGAAAGAUUUCACCUGGCUAUGUUCUUUGUUCUUAGUGUUCUCUUAGUAUCAAGAGCGAUUUCUUAGAGUUUAAGGGCAAUUUCGUUGAGUUUCAAGAGCGAUAGUUCUUUGAGAAUCGAGUUCGAGGUUGAGAGUUUUUUUUUUCCUAGGUAUUGACACCUAUUUCCAUGUUCCAACAACAAAACAAAAAACCCAGCAGAAACAAAGCACACAUCAAAAAAUAAACAAAGGAAACAAAACGAGGUUGGGGGACAUUUCCACACAGAACUGACAUUGUAAAUCAGAUAAGAGAAGAGCAUACUUGCUGUGUUUUUUGUUGCACUUGUGUCAAGAUUAGAUUUUAAACCAACAAUUAUCGCUAAGAUGUAGAGGUAAUUUUUGUUAGUUUCCAUAAGAAGAUCAGGGAGGUUUUAUCGAGCUAUGAUUGAGGGUGAAAGAUAGCCUUGUAUUUAAGCGUAGAUGAUAGAUUCAGUAACAACUUUUAAAGAUUAGCUUUUUAGGUUGAAGAUAGAGUUAUGUCACCAGGUAUAUCAGCCUUGUUCCAGAUAUUUUUUGCAGCCAGGAAUAACGUCUAGGAGGGUUUCUUGCAGAAACAGAAAGAACAGUCAGAGCUCUGGCUCAAGUUCCACUUUUUCAGGUUUUUCUGUGUAGCAAGGAUAGUGUUUAGGUACCUUAUUGUGCAAUUGAAAAAUAUUCUGAGCCAUGCUAGUUUGUACCUUGGACCAAAGUUUUUUAUUGGGGAAGAUCCUGGAAAAAAAUAUGUAAUAAAAAAGAUUAUUGGGAAGUAAGGAUUUUUGCAGAAAAUCUUUAUGCUCUUGCUGGACAGCUUUUAAUGCUUCUUUCUUGUUCCUAUAUAUAUCAUCUUGUAUAUUUGUGCUAUUGCUGGUAUUUUUCCUAUAUAUAUCAUCUUGUAUAUUUGUGCUAUUGCUGGUAUUUUAAAAACAGAUUUACACUGAAGUAAUUUGGCAGAGGGAGUCCAAACUAGUCUUUAGAAAGAAUAAUGCUACUCAAGGCAAGCAUUAUUUAGAAAGAAUAAUGCUACUCAAGGUAGGACUUAUUAUGAGGUCGAGCCAUUGAUGAAUGUAUUUGAAUACGAGGUUGUAAAAAUUCUUGGCAACCCACAUCUUUGAAAGAUCUGGUACAGCAAGUUUCCAAAAGAUUUUAAAAAGAAGAAAGCUGUGAUAAAGAUGCAGUUUAUUUUCUGUACGAAGAGGCUGGGAAUAGAUUUGUUUAAGCAUGUUGGACAGUGAUGAUAAAUAGUCAGAUUUAUGUUCUUGGUUUGUUAUUUCAAAGUCAAAAUAAUGACGAAGAUACUUAAAAGAGAGACAGAUGGGAUGGAUUUGUUGUUUAUGAAAAGCUGAGGGCGAUACUGAAGAGAAUGUCACGAAAAUUUCUUUAUUCAAAAAGUGAUGCUUUAUCAAUACAUAUGAUCAUGUUAGCCCUUUGGUACCAGCGAGUGAAACAAUGCAAUAUAAUUUGGUUUCCUUUCUCAUUACUGGUGAUAACAACAGCAUCGUCUGUGAAUAUAAACAAAUAGACUGGUUGAAAAAUAGACUGGUUGAAACAUACUGUUGUUCUGACCAUGUGGGGAGAAACCUAACUGUUUGUACUUUUAAGCUUUUAUGCACUGUAUGAAUGUGUUGCAGCAUAAAUUAAAUAGUAAGGGACUGAGGAAGUCAUCUUGAAGCACAGUACAACGGACUGGAAUAGCAAGAGUAUUAGAGUGGCAAGAGAUAAGUAGUUGUAUUUUGUCAGGGAUCUGAUGAUGAGACAGUGCAGUGGGUUUCAAAUUAUGGUGUACUUCUCCAAAUGCAUUUUCAAGAUCGAGAAGAUUGGCAACUAGUGAACCUUGCUUGAUGUGAGCUUUGUUUAUGACCUGAUCCAUCACUGCAGUCCUCGACCCUGAAGAUGAUUUUCGCUAUGUUUUUUAAAAUCUUUGAAUAUCUUUGAACACUCAAAUCACACCCAAUUUUCACACAAACAACAAAAGCAAUUACUGCAGAUUUUUUCAUAAAAAUAAGAUGAUCACGUGGUUAUGGUGUAUUUUACAGACAAGGAAACCUGGACCAUAAAAAAUGCUUGAGAAACAAUUUUGGAGAAGUGUAAGCUUACAUUUAGAUUAUAUCUAUUUCAAAUUACUAAACAUAAAGAAAGCAUUGAAAUGAGUUGACAAAAUUAUUGUCAUAGCAACCGUUGCUAUGGAAACUGGAAAAACCAUUUUUCUUGGAUAACUAUCAACAGAGUAGACAGAUUAAAAUUUUGUCAACUCAUAAGAACAAUUCCUCUUACCAAAUUUGAUUGAAAAAUAUUGCAUGCUUCUUUCUUUAUCUAUUCUUAAAGUAUUAAAAUGCUCAUUUGAGAAAACGAGCUUUAAAAUUCUGGUUGCGCAUAUUUACAAACUCAACAUCAAUGCUUCAAAAUAAUUAACCAAAAAAGGUCAAAUUUGGGUCUUUAUGGCCCGUGACCAAUUGGUCUUAGAUUAUUCCCUUAUAUAAUUAGGAAAUUAAGUAUUUCUAAAAGGUACCUGUACAUAAGGUUAUAUGAAUUGUCUUUUUAGUUAUUGAAUUUUUCUUCUUUUUGCUGAUUUCUCAACAUAAACCAUUUCAAGGCUCUUUUCAUCGAUAAAAACUACAGCCAUUUUAUCCUUGUCAUUAACUUUGCAUAGGUCUUUGUCUGGCACUUUAUGGAUAGAAAAACCUCCAGAGACAUAAGCUGCUCCUGCUUUUGUAUUUUGUUUCCUGAUCUUCCUCAAAAUUUGCCUUCUUCUCUGUUAUCUGUUUUGCAUUUGGCCUCCGUUUCUUUACCCUUUUCUCAUUUGCAGAUUUGUAAUCUUUAAUAGUGUUUGAUCCCAAAGACAAAACACCUAGUCUUUUCAGCACAAUCCCAGCACUGCCUAACAUUCCAAGCGCUGCUUACCACAGAAGACUCAUUUGGGGCAUUUUGACCAAAGGACACUGUUGAGGGCUUCAUUUUGAUUCUGUGUGAGACCUUUUUGACAGCUGCUCAGGAGUUCAUCACCACAUAGUCUUUCGAAUAUAUGUUUUAACUCUCUCCUGAAAACUAAUGACAAGCACUCUCUUUGAUCAUAGGUUGUUGUCUGGGAAGCUCUGUCUCUCUGGAACCUACACCAUGAAUUCUCUCCUUCAGGACAAAACUGAUGUUGAACCUCAUCUGGCCCAUUGUCACCUUGAAUGCAAUGAUAAAAUAUUGCCCAAAUUGCUUUUUUCAUCCCCUCAAUAUUAUUUUUUGUGAUUUCGUAUGGCAUAACCAUAAUAUUUUUGCAGUGAGUCUAUUAUUACAUCAGUCAGUCUACCACAUCCUCCAACCAUUCCACCAUCUGCUAACUUUCUACCUUUGUUUUUAUUUUUGUAAAAUUGCGCAAAUUAGAACCCAUUCGCUUUUGGAUAUGCCCAAUACAAUCUUCUUUCAAAACCAAGUAUCCAUCUCCAAAUUUUUUGAAACAGGCAUCUGCAACUUCAGCAAAUGACGAUGAAUCAUCAUCAGCAACAUAAGUUUUAUAUACAAGUUGAUAUUUCUCCAUUGAUCUUAGAAACAUUUUUACAGCAGCCUCUUUUUCCAUUGCCUCUGAGGAGCCUUUGUGGUUAACUUCACAAUGCUCUUCAUAAUUAGAAUACCAAUUCUUGAACCUUUCUGACUCUUUUUUCCACUUCUCUUUUGUCUUACACUCAAAACAAAUCUUGGACUGUACUUCAUAAUCCAAUACUUCACCAGUCUCAACUGAUAAAAUAAACACAACACCAAGCAAAUAACUAUAGCCAUAACGUUUUUGCCAUGUACCAUCUACUGACACACAAACAGGGACAUUUGAAGAAACAACUUCUUUUAGAAUUAUCUUGCCAUAGCUGCAAGGUUCCUUUUGGGUCCUUACAGAGACGGCAAAUGGCUGCUUUACUCAAACUGGUUAGCAGAUUGUUAGUGUUCAUCACCUUGAAGCCAUGUGCAAGUUUUCUUCCUCUAGCUAGGCCAAGUGAGUCUUUACUGUACAAAUCCAGACAUUCCCUACUUUCAUUUAUGUACUCAGACUGUUCUUCGGCAAAUAAAGGACAAUUCCUCUUCAAUUUUUCUAAUGAUUUGUUGAUCAAUUUCCCAGAUGGACUCUUGAAAAUUUUUGGAAUCGUGGAGGAGGAACAUGGGCCUAGUUCUUGUGAUAGUACCACAUCUUUGUCGUCAUCAACUGUAGCGCUAUCGUUUCUGGAAGCCUCUUGUUCUAUGAAUUGUUUUUGCACUCCGUAAAAGCCACGUUUUAUUUGGAAUUGCUGACAAUGUAAAGAAACUGGUAUCAAAUAGUAUGAAAAUUUGGCGAACAAAGUUAACACCUUGUGGUGAAAGCCUCGGGGAUGUGUUUCCAUUUUUUGAGAACAAAAGGAAACAGGUAAAGUUGAUAUUACAAGGAAGGAAAGGCAUUUUGCUUUAGCCUUGUAAAAUUCUUAGAUUCAAGAAUGUCAAUGGUACUUCAAACUUUAGAAUGUCUUAAACACCAUGAAGCACAGGGAAUAGUUAAUUGAAACAGUCCCAUUUCUCAAUUACUUUCAGUUAAGGGUAACGACCAGAUUCCCUGUAUAGUAAGAAAUCUUAACCACAUCUAUUAUGUUGUGGACAUACAUAAAAAACUAUUUCAGUCAUUGCUUUGAGUGCAUGUUGAUCAGAGUUAAGGAUAGAAAUGGCGUUUUGUGUUUUACUUUUGUCUUUAAACAUUGUCAAUGGAAAAGGAAUGGUUAGGACAGCUUUUUGUCAACAGCGAUGUUAUUGUUCACAAUUACCUAUGUCACAAGAUGACAAAGCGGGAAGUAUAUCUGGCCUAACCAAGUCAAGAAAUUGUUGACCGAUGCAAAAUGCUGAAACACUUUGUGUGAAACAAAUUUUAAUUCAAGCGAUGUUGAUGAAUUUCCUACGUGCAAAGUACUUCGCACAGGAUCAGUUCCCAGCAAACAUUUGCAUAGGAAGUCGCUUGACAAUGGCGAGGUGAAAGAAGAACACUGGUCGCUUGUCAGGAAUCUGUCGCUGAAGGGGAAAUACACAUCCAUUUCAAAAUUUAUAAAAGGAGUUGAAACCUUGAAGAUUCAUCCCUGGUCUUACGAGGUUGCAGAUCGUCAGGUGAAUUUCACCUUGGCUGACAAAGAAUUUUGGGUGCUCGGUUUUAUGUUAGCAUUUAUGAUGAAUUUCCUGUGGCAUGCUUUUACUAUGGAUGGAGAUUGUCUGACAUUAAUGUGCUUGAGAUUCAACAGUAUAGAGUUACAAUGGAUAGUGCUUUUGUUAAUCACAGAAUAAUUGGCUCUACCAAAUAUGGAUAGUAACAAUCGUGCCACACUAGAUAUAAAUAGAAGUGUGCGGGCACAUUUUUAAACAAUAUGUUUUGAGACCAAAUGGCUGUGCUUUUGUUCUUGUGCCACGGUCGAAGCUCUGUAUGCUCCUGUUGAGGCCCGAGAAAUGUGUAUUGAAAUCAAUUGCAUCAAGGCUCGGUAUGUUCUUCAAUAAAGUGACACAGUGACACAAAUAUUUAUAAAAUGUGCUGUCGAGUAUGAACUUGCUUAGGUCCCUCUUAAAAACAAACAAAACGUGUUUGGUCUGCAGGAAACUGAUGAUUCAGCACGCAAGAAUUUUAUUAAGCUCGAAUUUGAGUUUAUUGCAAGGAUUCCCCUUGCUUUGGGGAUGGAUAUUCAAAGAAUAGUUGAAGAAAUUAUUAAAUCGCGAGACCAUGCAGCUUUGAAGAAACUUUUCGUGGACGAGCUAUCAAGGCUUCGCAAAAGUAUGCCUAGUUUAAUUUGUCAAGAAUUUGAUCUGGCUAAAGAAAAAGAUUGAUCUGUCAGUUGUAAGAACUAGCCAUUACUUAUAAAUUUUUAAAUGUAUAUUAUUUAGGUGCGUCCAGUGACUAGCCUACAUCAGUUUGCAUUGUUUUUUGUUUGCAAGUUGAAAACAUAGAGCCAGUAUUGUUUAAUGGUAAAUCGACAGGAACGGUGACAGCUUUGCGCUAAAUGUAACUAUGUUUUCGGUAUAAACACUAAACCGGUCUCUGUAUGCUCAAACUGGGGGUUUCCGAAAGACCAGAAAUUGUGCGUGGUCACCUAAAAUUGUGCCACGGUCAUGAUUUUUUCUACGUCUGCCCCUGUGGGUUUACUGGCAAUAAUACACUUAGUCAUGUAGUGCCGCAGAGAUCAUCUCAUGAUGAAACGGCCUUCCCAUUUGUCUGCAAGAAUUUUGUGCGAAGCAAAGCCUGCACUAUACUUUUAUAUAACAGAUGCAGUGCUUUGUGCUCUUCCUGUGAGUCUUUGACUGAGGCAGAAAAGCGAAAUGCUAAUGUGGUCACUGAAAGAAGAUUCAUCCAGCAAAGAAGAAGGCACCUCUGUCAGCAUGCAGAAAAGAAAAACUGAUGAUGAAAUUACAAGAAAGUUGCCCGAAACGUUCCCAAUUAGAGACUGAAUUAAAAAGGUUAAGAAAAGAAAUAAAUGAAAGUGGUUGUUAUGUGAGUGAUGAAUGGCACUGAAAUUACUCCUCGUAUGAAGUUCUUUUGGGAAGAGCAAAAACUAUGCCAAGUUAGAAAUUACAAACAUGCAUUUGCACCAAAGCCAGGUCUAACUGCUGCCAGAAUGGAAAGUGCUGGUGCAGAAAGAUAUGUUGGCAUUCCCCUUAAUGAGAUGGCUGGUUACACUGGUUUUGCUUGGUUACACUGAUCUUAGUGACUGAUUGAUUUCACUAUCACAAAGGCUCUAUUAAGCUCUGUUAAUUUCCGAGGUCCUAAAGGGGGAGCUUAAUAGAGACCGGGGCUUAUUGGGGAGGUGGGGCUUAUUUCAAAAAUGAAGAUCAAGGAUACAAAAAUGACUUUUAUUUUCCUGUACUUUUCUGGUUUUUUAUCUGAAAACGAAAAUGUAUAACUGUAAACGGGUCUUAAGCCCAGAUCAUAGUCGACGCAUUACAUCAAAACUUUUACCCGUACGCCUUAUUUCUCUGCGGGAGGCGCCAGCUUGUAUGGUGUCGGCUUGCCAAAGAGCUAGCGUACGCUAAAUUUCGCCCCAUAUCAGAGGCAUAGGUCUUGCGUACGGAAGUUUAUUCUGUUUUUCGCAAACCCGUAUGCCUUGAACUUAUCGAGUUGAGAAAUCUUCAUUUUUUUUUGCCUUCCGUACGUAAAAUUUCUUAGCAAUGGCCGAUUUUGAAAGAAAACUUUGUGAAGAGAUACACAAAUACCCCCAUAUGUAUGAUUCAUCGCUAGAAGACCGUCGGUUUGGAACCCAGGGUAAGAAAUCGGGACAAAUAUUAAAUUAUUGGACAGGAGCAAGAAAAAUGGCUAUUUAUACCGGAAUCAUUGACAUUAAAUGCGAAUCGUUGGCAAUAAUGGCACAAUCCCCGCAAACGGUUCGUAAAGUAUUUGUAGGUAGAAUAUACCAGCAUGUUUGCUGUUCUUUUUAUUUUUUCUCCAGACAAGUAGAAGGGCAAGAGGAACAUUCCUCGACGGCAUGUCUGGAAACUAUGAGCCGAAAAAGGUUAUGGCGUAUCGUUACAAGCUUCCCGCAUGGACAUGCAGAAAACUUACGUGUUUACGCUUUUUGGAUAUGCAAGAUGAAAAGGCGUAUGCUUCAAAGCUUACCCUUGUGCAGAAUUUAGCGUAAGCUAAUAAGUUCAGAACUAUGAACCAGGCUUUAGGCUGCAUGUCAAAAGAAAUGGUAUCCGAUAGUUAGUAUUUGGACCUCCCUUGUUGAAUAAAUUUGCAAAUCUUAUGCCAUAAUAUAGAGAAUACAGUAAUUCCUUGCAACAUUGGCUAGACUUCAAGCAGUUGAAUUUUGCAAACAUUUCAGACUAGAUUUUGCAACUGUUGCCAGAGGGCAUCCUAUUUACAAGAAGGUUUGGUAACCUGUUGUUGGAGAAACAUUAUUUUGCCAUCACAACAAAAAAGAAAAAGCAAAACUUUAUGAUGACUACGCUAUCGGCAUAUAUCUCCAUGGUGAUCAAGGGUGUCACGAACAGCUAGUUGGUCAUUUACCAAUAAACUGUCAUACUUGCUUUUUAAGUUUCUCGAUCGUCAAGGCUGCAAUCUCAGAUUCUUACCAACCGGAGCAAGAAUGCUUGAAGAUGGAUUGGUUGUUCCAGGAAUCUACACUGCACUGAAUGAUUCUUGAGGGCUGCUAGAGAUGUUGAAGACAAAACUAGACAGAAAAACUUUGCCUCUCAAACACAUGAAAUUAGAAACUGGCAAUAUUACAACGAAAUACAUCAUAAGUUAUCACUAAAUCAUUGCACUUUACUCUGCAGUCUUGUAGUGAUAACAUCUAAGAUUUUGUUCCCGCUGUGUUUUUCAUGCUACGCUUCGCUGCUUGUGUAUACCGCUGUGUUUAUUUUGAAAUAGUUAGUUGUUUUGGUAGAUAAUAACAUGACAUAGUCUCUUACUAUCGACUUCGCCCUUUAAUAAUUCGUCCUUCGAGACUGUUACUUUAUUAACAACACAGGCUGUUAAAGUCUUUCUUGUAUGAAAAUGGGUGGGGCUUAAUAGAGAGAGGGGGCUUUGAUAAUUGUAAUGCAUUUGCCACAAAUGCUCUUGUGUUUCCUGUUUGAGGGGUUUGUUCAGCGUUGAAAUCAGUCCUGAGCCAUUAUCUUACAGGAGUAAUGUCGUGUCAGUGAUGGCCGGUUAUCUGGGAAGCAGUGUUCAUGGUGGGGUUGAAAUUGAAUCUGUGGGUUGUCUUUGCUGUUUGUGAUGGUGCUAGUCAAAACAGAGAGUUUUUAGAAAAUGCAAACAUCACCAAUCCAAGAUCCAAUUUAUUUUACAAUCAUUAUUGCAGCACCAAAACGAUAGAUCUAUUUCCUUACUGACGUUCCACAUUUGAUUAAAACAACAAGAAAUUGUUUGUUGUUUUUUGGUUUCUCUGCCAAUUCAAAGCGCCUUGUGUUGAAUAAUGGCAAGCAUUUUCUAUGGAACCAUAUUGCCCAAGCCUAACACAAGAAUCUUGAGCUGGGUCUUCAUAGACUUGUCAAACUUGGACCAGAACAUGUAAAUAUUUCUCCAUUUGGCAAAAUGAGAGUAUCAUAUGCUCUUCAAGUCCUUAGUAAGACAAUGUCACUUGCGCUGACACAUUACUUCCCAAAAAGGAAGGCAGAUGAAACAACAAAGCUUUGCUCUCUGGUCAAUGAUUUCUUUGACAUCUGCAAUGUAAGAUCCACAACAAAGUGCACAAAAAGAGAAACAGCAAAAUAGAGCCCAUUAAAUCGGUGCUGAUCCAUGCCUUGCAUAGAUGAAGGAUUGCUUUUUGCAAUACUUUGAGAAAUGGUUUUAAACAAUAGAGGAGACUGAUGAGAUCUUUAAGGAAGAUAAAAGCAAAAUGUUAAUCUCCAAACAAACAUUUGAGGGAUACAAAAUUACAAUUAACUCCACAAUUGAGCUUAUCAGAUUUCUUUUACUUAACGGUGUCAAGUUUGUUUUGACAGAGAGAUUUAUGCAAGAUGUAUUGGAAGAAUAUGUUGGCUACCAAAGGUCCCAUGGGCGAAGAUGUGAUAACUCGAUGGCCAGCGAAUUUGGUUACAAUGACCAAAUUAUUAACAUGUAAUGAUCAUUAACAUGUAAUGAUCAAUAGCACCUAAGGGCAAUGUUAGGGGAAAACAUUCUCUGAAAUGGUCAAAAGCGAGUGAUGAACCACUUCCAACAAAACAAAUUAAAAAUAACCGUUAAUUUGUUUAUUGAUUUAUAUUUAUAAGUCUUAGGAUACAAGUAGUCUAUUAUAAAUCACAUAUUGAAUUGAAAAUUAAAAAGCUCAAAGUAAGGUAACCCAGCUCUAGAAAGGUAACCUUUAAAAAGGUAUUUGUAUGGCAACUUACUUAUUAUUUGAUGUAAGAACUUGAUUCCAUUUAAUCCCCCCUGGAAUUAGAUCUUCGGGUUAUCCAAAUCAGGCAACCAAAAACAUUCCAGAUUGAAGCCACCAAGAAGCUCAUUUAAAGCUUAUGGUAUAGAAAAACUUACAAUAAGGUAGAGUGAAGUCUUAUAGACAAGUUCCUUGUAGAGAAGACUUUUUAUAUAUUUCUAGUUCAUUUCAUACAACAAGUUACAAGUCAGUCAGUUAAUAUUAGAACAAAAUUAUUUCUUUUGGCGUUCCUCUGCCUUUUUCUUUAGUGUUUUCCUCAAUGCCUUUUGUUUUUUCUCAAGGUGUUGUUGAGCUAGAUGUCUUUUCCAAAUAUCUGUGGUGUGGGCAAAACCUCUAAUGCUUACAAACGAUUUGAUAAUCAUUUGUAAACAAAGAUCACUGCAUUCAAUGCUUCACAAUGACAUAGCAUCGAGAUUGUAAACGAGGUGCGAAAGCGAGAAAAGUCAUGUUCCAAUCUCCAAGACAUCAUUUCUAAACAACAAAUUCAAUCGAAACGAACUUGAGUGUUCCAUUAUUCAUCUUCCCUAAUUGGAAAUAAAAAUGAGCAACUAGGAGAACGAUCAUAACGUCAAGGCAAAUAAAAAGAAGAAACAAUCCCUAGGCCGACAAUGUGCAGCAUUUGGAUGCUAUAAUACUUUUUAUAACGUUGACGGAACACCAAGCGGCCUACAUUUUUUCAGAUUCUCUCAGAAGUACCCCGAGAAACUUUGAUGGUGCAAUUUGGUUAAACGAGUAGAUGAAAUGGAUGGAUUUAAAGUUACAGGCUCCAAUAGCUUAUGUCAAGUACACUUUGCUGAUGCUGACAUCAAGCGCAACCCAAAUCAUUGGCGAUUGGUAGGUGGUUCAAUGCCUUCCUUAAAUCUGCAUCCGAGCUCUGUUCCUUCUGUUGGGAAGAAAGCACACAAACCUCCUGUCGCCUGCAAAUUGGCAUCAUUUUCAGCAGCUAAAAAAUCAACAGAUGAUUUUGAGCCUCAGUUUAUUCAAUCAGAUGAUGAGGAGGUACAUUUGGUGCCUGUAGGCAAUUCUAUUUCAACACAAACAGAUUUUUCUUUUGUCGAAUUGUCCGUUUAUCUUUCUUCGUCUGAGGUAGUUGAUACUAUCACAAAGUCUCCAUGUCUUGACUGUGACAAAUUGGAACUAGAGCUAAAAGAUCUCAAAACCAAGAUACAACAACUUGAAAUGCAAUUAACAGAGGCGAAGAAAGCUCUGUUUUCCUUAGAUAAAUUGCAAAAAGACGAUUCUGCAACAAAAUUUUACACCAGUUUUCCCAAUUUCUUUUGUUUGAUGGCUACUUUUGAGUAUUUCAAACCUAAAUGAGAUAGGUUGCAUUACUGGCGUGGUAAAGAAUCAUCACAUAAAUCAACAAAGUUCUCUUAUCAUGAAAAAGAAAUUUCCAAGCCUGGCCGAAAGCGCACUCUUACCCAUAUAAAAGAGUAUGUUAUGAUUUUGAUGCGAUUAGAAAUGGGAUUGUUUGUAGAUGAUUUAGCAGAUAGGUUUGGUAUUUCUCCUGCACAUUUUUCAAAAGUCUUUACUACCUGGAUAUGUUUUGUGUUUCAUGAAUUGCCAAAUUUGUUUCCUUUUCCUUCGCAAGAACUUGUUAGAAAUAAUAUGCCUCAGCAAUUUAAAGAGUACCCAACAACAAGAAUCAUUAUUGAUGGCACUGAGAUCUUCACAGAGGUACCAUCUUCCUUGAAAUCUCAAACAUGGUCUGAUUACAAGUAUUACAAUACAAGGAAGGCUCUUGUGGGAAUUUCACCAGCUGGUUGCAUAACUUUCGUUUUAAAGCUAUGGUCUGGCAAAGUUUCAGACGAAGAACUGACCCUGAAGUCAGGUUUGCUUUCUUUGCUAGAAGCUGGUGACAAUAUUAUGGCUGCUCAUGGCUUUGACAUAGCAGAUAGCUUACCAGCUGGUGUUACACUGAAUAUUCCUCCAUUCAAAGGUUCAAGAAGCCAGCCUACUUCAGAGGAAACUGAAGAGACUGCUCGCAUUGCAUCCAUCAGGAUACAUGUAGAAAGAGCAAUUGGACGAAUAAAAAACUACCAUAUUUUUGAUGGAGUUUUACCAAUAACAUUGUUUCCUAUUUCUAACCAAUUUUUUACUGUAUGUUGUCUAUUAACAAAUUUUUUACCAUUUUUUGUGGAUAUGCAUGAUAAGAAUUAAUUGUAAUAAAUUUUAAUAAAAUAAUUGUAGUAAUAAAUUAAUGGUAAUUAACAUUCUAUUUCUGAUAAUUUUCCCAUCCACCAUGUAAGUACAACUUGCUUCCCUGUUUGACACGUUGAGUAAAAUAUUCUGGUAGUACAGCUCUGCAAUAAAAAUACUUACGUCUAGGUAGCAAAAAGUCUAUCAUGAAGUUUUCACCAUAAAAAUGGUUUCUCUCAACAAUGGCUCGUUGUCACCCAACCACACAACAAUAUCCACUUUUUUCAAUCCUGCACAGAAAAUUUGCCCUUGAAAUUGAAUAAAGUAUUGGUGUUUCCGUUUCAAUUUUAUGGUUCCAUCUGGAUUUUCCUUGAGAAAAUUUUUUUUGUGCAAAGAAGAAUUGAACUUGGAAUAUGGACAUUUUAUUUCAAGGCCAUAAGUUUCUUCAUUUGCAAACACUAGGCCAUCCAUAGAAGCAGGGAAGGCAGGAUUUGGGGAACAGGUUCAGGCUCUGGAGAGGAACUUGUUUUGUCAGGUAAAGAAGAAACAUUUUUGUGAAAACCAAAGAAAUCACUGAAAGGAACACGUGACAACAGUUUGGACUUCAAAACUUCAAGGCUAUGUUCAUUGAUGCAUCCGUCAUCAGGUGCACGAGGAUCAAAGAGUUUGUAUUUUGAAACAUUUGUCUGAUCAUUAUCCUUUCCAAAUCUGAUUUUUUGAAUGAUUACUUCAUCAAUUGGAACUGGAUUGAAUGCCUUGAGUUAGGUGGCGUUGGGGACAUUCCAAGAAGAUAACUUUGAGGUGCAAGAGACAGCAGAUUCAAAUUCUUGUAGGCCUUGUCUGUUGAAAUCUUCAAGGGCAAAUAGUAUACCACCAACAUGAUUGCAGUUGCCUUAACCUCCCAAGCCCAAGCCAGCUGGGCAAGUACAGACAGCAGAGCAGACAUCACCAGACGAGUUUGCUAGUGUUAGUAACACUUUGUAGAGAUGCUUCCUCAUUGAAGCCUUAACUCUGACAUCAAAAUAAGUAAAAUGGCUGUCUUUUGCUACUUGGAUCUUUUUUAUGAAUCCUUCAUAAAAAAAUUGAAAUGAUUUCAACUUCUUGUAGUCUGUACUUUUCAAAGUGAUGUGUUUGAACUUAGAUGUUCGAAUGACAAGAUACUCAUACAGUUGAACAGUAGUUAAAAGUUAAAAGUAGGCAUUCCACGCAAAUCAGAUGUCCAGGGCAAAUGUCUACACUGUUUAUUCAAAAUAGAUUGAUAAGUAAAAUUGGUCCCAACACAAGGAAGGGGAGAUGUUUUCAAACUGUCAGAUUGUUCAGCAGCAAUGCCUUUGUUCUUUGCCCUACAAAACACGGCGUAUGAACGAAGUACCAAAUCGGCCUUCACUCCCAAUGUCUUCUCCUGGUAACACUUCAAUAUUUCUUUCAAUUCCUUCACAGAAAAAUUGCCCAAAUCUUCUAAACAAGUGACUCUUUUUCCGUCGGGUAGUAAUGCAUUAAACUCAUCCAUGGAUUUCUAAUGUUUCUUUAAUGCUGGUAUGCGGGUUGUGUUGUUUAGAAAUGAUGUUUUGGAGAUUGGAACAUCACUUUUCUCGUUUGGGAUUUUGCGCCUUGUUUUCAAUGCAGGUUAUACGUCAUUGUGAAAUAGGUCUAUUGAGAUGAGAGAUGGAUGGCAAAGGCAAGAUUUCAUGAUAUCAUCAAUAGGGAUGGACCUUUGUGAGGAUUUGGUCAGCCUUCUGAAUGUAUUCUCAUCAGCUUUGUUGAAGGUUCCCACAAACCGCCCCUGCUCAUGCUGGCAAUGAAGGCAUUGUGGGAGGUUUCAACCGAUUAAAGUUUUGGCAAAAGGAAAUUUGAUUUCUUCUUGCCACGGGCUUUUUCUAUUUUUAAAAACAGCUUUUUUAUAAAUCUGGCUGAGAACUGAACCAGCAACAUAGGCCAACGGACCGUGCUCUUCCCGUCUUAGCCCCUUGCCAUAGGAAUUAUCCGAAUCACCAAGCAUUCCCUUUUUUACGUGAUACAGCCUGGCUGUUGCCAACUUUAAAAGAAAUAAAUUUGUUUCUUCCACACUUCUAUCAGGGAAAAAUUCGAGUGUUAUCACAAAAAUCGUUGAAUAUUUUGUAUAGAAGCUAUCAUUAUCGUUCUUGUAAUGUGAUAACAAAUUGUUUAUGAACGACUGAAGCCGUAGGGGAACUUCACUUGGCAGUCUUUCAUUUAAUUCCACACUGUACAUAUUUUCCUUCAAUACAUUCUCCUUAAUUUCUCUAGCAAUGACAACAAAGUCUUCAGCCUUGAGGAAGGGUUGUGAAAAAACGUGGUCUACACCAUUUGCGUACCUUUUGGCAUGGGGUUAGGAUACCUUUUGGCGUAGGGUUGGCCUAUCUGUUAGCCUGGCAAUGAAAAAUUUGGCGUAGGCUUGGUGUAACUCUGCAUUACAACUGGAAACCCCGAAAACAGAAAAAUUGCAUCACAUGUGCAUUCAAGCUUGUUGGGAGAGCACAUGAUGAUAAUUUUACAACUACUUUUGCAAGUUUGCCUCAAAAUAAUUUUAAUGAAGAUACUAGAUACCUACAUAAUUGCCAUUCAGAAAUACGGAACCACAGAAUAAGAAUAAUAUUCUGUGAUCGAACUGACUGAUAGUUUCUCUUACCAAGAAAUUUUAUGUGUUGGUACAGAAAAUAUAUUUACUUUUUGUUUACUUAAUAACUAUACUGUAAGUCAGGGGUCGGCAACCUUUAUAAACCAGGAGGCCAAACUUAGACUUUGAAAUGCAUAAGAGGGCCGCAACUCAAAAUACAGUAUAAUUUUAAUAUAUACUCAUUUUACUUCAUCUAACUAUUAAUCUAACCAAUAAAAAUGUAUUUAUCGGCAAAAAGCUAUGCUUUAACUUUGAAGCAGUACACUCUUUUUUUAAUGAUCAGUAAAUUUAUGUUCAGGCUUAUUGUUGUUAAAUGUUUUGGAAAACUGAGGCUGGAUUGUUCUCAUUUUGAUCUUAAACCUAUGGAGUAUAAGCAGUGCCAUUGCCAGCUUAAGUGUUAAGGCCUAAUUUGCCAACAAAGUGCGUGAGAAAACCUUUAUUUGCCACCAUGGUUGAUUGUUCAGAGAGAAAGCACCAACACAUGGCUAAAAUUCUCGUUUUUGAGAUAAAACGUUGUUCGAAAUUGCAUUUUGCAGUAGCUCAGCUUCAGGUUGUUCUUAAUUUGUUCUUAAAUUUUGACUUAUGGCUCGUGUUCUCACAAAACUGUUCUUUUAAAACAGAGUGUGCGUAAUCAAAAACAUAGAUACAAAAUACAUGUUCACUUUUCAGUAUGAAGCUAAUGCGCAACUUGGAGCUGCAUGUCCUUGGCCAACUUCUCAAUAUUUGGCAGAAUCGUUGAUGUUGAAAGACGCAUGUUGCCUUCAAGGUGCUGAUCAGUGAUUCAAGAUCGCAGUCAACUCUUCGCAUAUUUCAUCUUUGAGAAAAGACUUUCGCAAAGAUAAGUACUGCCAAACAUACAACACAUCUUCUUGGCAUGUUACACCAGACCUGGAUAUGAACCAUCAUCCUUGACAUACUGUUGAUAAAACUGGAUGAUAUCAGUUUCUUUGAAUUUUCGUUUCAAUUGACUGGUACCCUGCAGCUUGAUCAACUCCAUUUGAAGAUUUUCAGGGGCAGCUUCAACUUCGACUUCAAAUGGCGAAGCAAACAGCUUGAAGUUUUCGCCUUGACACUGCAUAUCUUUGAAUCUGCCGUUAAACUGCAUGCGAAGGUCACCAAUGAAAGAUGCAUACAUCAACACAUUGACAGGUUGCUGUUCCUGCAAAGUGGGAAAAUGAGCCAAGUUUCCUUGAUCCAACUGAGUAUUCCAAAGGCCUAGCAUACGUUGGAACGUCGCCACAUGCUCAUACAUAAUUGACCACGGCCUUGAAGCUUCUUGUUUAGCUUGUUCAAGUGACCAGUAAUGUCAACGAGGAACGCUAAUCUAGACAAGAAGCUCGGAUCACUGGAUUCAGGUGCUAUCAUAUUCUUGGCCAUCAUGAAAUCACAAAUCUCUUUCCGAAGCUGGUAGACUCGUUGAAGCAUUGCACCUCGCCUUAGCCAUCUUACCUCAGAAAGUACAACAAGUCGCCAUAAUCAGAUUCAACUUCCUGCAGUAAUUCCUGAAACUGACGAAGAUUGAGUAGAUGAAGUUGUCUUCACUACAACUUGCAUAACCUAAAAAAUAUGAAUUUAAUUAGUACAAAAAAUGUAUGACUUGGUAGGCAUUUUCUUCAAGUUAUCACCGGACCGUAAUAAACUGAACUGAAAACUGCAAAUCUGCUAAAUUUUUAAUUGAAACUUUACCUCUCUCAGUGAUGCAGACUUCGCGCAUAAUGCUUGCUGGUGAAUUAUACAAUGAAACUUCACAAGUUCAGUUUGGAUGCCAUGUUCCUUCAUAUGCUUUUCAAUUAGAGCAACCACGCCUUUCUUUUUUCCCACCAUUGAAGGUGCAUCGUCAGUUGUAACACUCACUAAUUUAUCAAAUUGCAAGUCCAGAUCUUUGCAACAUAGCUUCACUGCUUGAAAAAUAUCUUCGCCAGUAGUGGUGUCCUUCAUUGGAAACAAGCGAGCAAAAUCCUCCACAAUUUCAAAUUCCGAAUUCACACCUCGAAUAAAUAUGGCCAGUUGUGCAGUAUCUUUCACAUCUGUGCUCUCAUCCAAAGCAAUGGAAUAAUAUUCUAGAAUAAUAUUCAAAAAUUUUUCAGAGAAUUUUUCACAUCUGAAGACAUAGCUUCUAUCCUCCGUGUUACUGUUCUUGCAGAAAGAGAAAUGUCAGAAAACAGUUGUUUCUUUUCCGGGCACACACUGUCAACAACAGCCAUCAAGCAAUCUUUCACAAACUCUCCAUCACUGAAAGGCUUCAUGCGUUUACCAAUAAGUGCACUCACAGCAAAACUAUCGCGGAUGUUGCUUUCCUUUUCCCCUACCCAUUUUGUGAAUGCUGAUUGGCUCUUUUCUAGGUUCUUUUGAAGUUCAUUAAUUUUAUCUUUACGAAGCUGUCCUUUGACUUUUGAGUAAGCCUCGUGUUUCGUUUCAAAGUGCCGUUUGACAUUGAAUUCUUUCAAAACAGCAACUGUGUCAUUACAGAUCAGACACAGGCAAACUGGUCUUCCAGCACGCAGCUGACUAACAAAGAAAUAAUUCUCCGUCCAUCGUUGGUUGAAACAGCGAUGCUCAUCUUCAAUUCGUCUUCUUUAAGCGCGCAUCAUAACAAAAAGCUGAAUGGGAUGAACAGGUAAAAACAGCUGUACAAUGAACAGCGUCUGUCUUGACUUAGCUUAAAUUAAAGGCACUGAGUCACAAUAAAAGGAGAGGGUAUACUCAAACGUCAUGAUAUUCGUGCUGCAAUACUAUUGGUUGACCUGGAACUGAUCACAUGAGCUCAACAUUUUACUGAUUAACAAAACAGUUUCCAUCAAUAGCAAGUUGUCGACAACAGAUGCCGAUAUCACAUAAAACUGCAGCAAUCACACUGCAACUCAAUACUCAAUGGCCCCAAAUAGAGAAAGCCUACAGGAUGUACCUUGCUUUUGAAAAGCUGUGUUGAAAAGAAGACACUCUUGCAUCGGGCCGCACAAAAAUGCCCUGCGAGCCGCAUGUGGCCUGCGGGUUGCCGACCCCUGCUGUAAGUCAUCACAUUAUCUGGGGGUUUAUUAAUUCAAAACAUUUUUGGAUGAGGGUUUAUUCAAGAGGGUUGGGGGCCCAAAUGAAGACAGGGGAUAAUAAAAAUGUUCUGAACAACAUCCUAUAACAGGGCUCAUGACACAAAAAGGCGGUGGUUGCCAUGCCCCCCCUUCUUUUUUGCAAAUUAAGUAGUUUUAUAGCUUCAGUAAAAGGGGAAAGAAGUCUUGAACCCCUACUUUUGCUAGCCUUGCUCCCCCCCCCCCACUUUCAAAUUUGUGGUGUGGGCCUUGAAUAGAUAACUUACAAUUCAGUUUUUAGCUUAUUUCAGCCACAACUAAGCAGACAAAAUCACAAGUGACGAUUGCCUCUUACUCCUCCUUAGCACAGAAUAGAAAUGACCAGAAGGGUCACUCCUGUCCAAACGCUUCAGUGUGAGUUUUUUCGCGCAUGCGCCACCAAAACGAGGAUGGUGUGUAAAGUUUAGAAGGAAAAGCGAAUUUCUUUGGUGCGAACAGUCACGAUCCCUAUUUUCGAAUAUAAAUUUUUAUCUUAUUUGCAUAUACUCCGAAAGGAAAUGGAAAAAAGGAAGAAGAAACCAAGAACUGGCUCCAUCUGCUCUGCUACGUCAUGCAAGAACAAUAAGGCAAAUUGUCCUGACCUUUCGUUUCAUUGAUUUACUCUAGAUCCGCUACGGUGCAAUGAAUGGUUACAGGCUGUGGGGCAGGAAAAGCUGAUGUCAAAAAAGCCAGCCUUCCUGAACAAAUAUCACUUUCUUUGUGCUGAACAUUUGAGACAAGAGGCAUUUCGUGGAGUUGGGAACCAGAGGAGAAGGC